CAGUCGCCGCGGUAAUACGAAGGGGGCUAGCGUUGCUCGGAAUUACUGGGCGUAAAGGGAGCGUAGGCGGACAUUUAAGUCAGGGGUGAAAUCCCAGAGCUCAACUCUGGAACUGCCUUUGAUACUGGGUGUCUUGAGUGUGAUAGAGGUAUGUGGAACUCCGAGUGUAGAGGUGAAAUUCGUAGAUAUUCGGAAGAACACCAGUGGCGAAGGCGACAUACUGGAUCAUUACUGACGCUGAGGCUCGAAAGCGUGGGGAGCAAACAGGAUUAGAGACCCCUGUAGUCCCUGUCUCUUAUAA
rnacentral:rRNA from 1 species